rnacentral:rRNA from 1 species
GAUGAACGCUGGCGGCGUGCCUAAUACAUGCAAGUCGAGCGAACCACUUCGGUGGUGAGCGGCGAACGGGUGAGUAACACGUAGGUGAUCUGCCCAUCAGACGGGGACAACGAUUGGAAACGAUCGCUAAUACCGGAUAGGACGAAAGUUUAAAGGUGCUUCUGGCACCGCUGAUGGCUGAGCCUGCGGCGCAUUAGCUAGUUGGUAGGGUAAAGGCCUACCAAGGCGACGAUGCGUAGCCGACCUGAGAGGGUGAACGGCCACACUGGGACUGAGACACGGCCCAGACUCCUACGGGAGGCAGCAGUAGGGAAUCUUCGGCAAUGGGCGAAAGCCUGACCGAGCAACGCCGCGUGAAUGAUGAAGGCCUUCGGGUUGUAAAAUUCUGUUAUAAGGGAAGAACGACUUUAGUAGGAAAUGGCUAGAGUGUGACGGUACCUUAUGAGAAAGCCACGGCUAACUUCGUGCCAGCAGCAGCCGCGG